UCUCAUGUGUACAUUGAGACGUU
rnacentral:miRNA from 1 species